rnacentral:rRNA from 1 species
UACGGGGGGAGCAAGCGUUGUUCGGAUUUACUGGGCGUAAAGGGCGCGUAGGCGGCCAGCACAAGUCAGUUGUGAAAUCUCCGGGCUUAACUCGGAAAGUCAACUGAUACUGUGCGGCUAGAGUGCAGAAGGGGCAACUGGAAUUCUCGGUGUAGCGGUGAAAUGCGUAGAUAUCGAGAGGAACACCUGCGGCGAAGGCGGGUUGCUGGGCCGACACUGACGCUGAUGCGCGAAAGCCAGGGGAGCGAACGGG